AUUGAACGCUGGCGGCAGGCCUAACACAUGCAAGUCGAGUGGAUGAAGGGAGCUUGCUCCUGGAUUCAGCGGCGGACGGGUGAGUAAUGCCUAGGAAUCUGCCUGUAGUGGGGGAUAACGUCCGGAAACGGGCGCUAAUACCGCAUACGUCCUGAGGGAGAAAGUGGGGGAUCUUCGGACCUCACGCUAUCAGAUGAGCCUAGGUCGGAUUAGCUAGUUGGUGGGGUAAAGGCCUACCAAGGCGACGAUCCGUAACUGGUCUGAGAGGAUGAUCAGUCACACUGGAACUGAGACACGGUCCAGACUCCUACGGGAGGCAGCAGUGGGGAAUAUUGGACAAUGGGCGAAAGCCUGAUCCAGCCAUGCCGCGUGUGUGAAGAAGGUCUUCGGAUUGUAAAGCACUUUAAGUUGGGAGGAAGGGCAGUAAGUUAAUACCUUGCUG
rnacentral:rRNA from 1 species